UACGUAGGGUGCGAGCGUUGUCCGGAAUUAUUGGGCGUAAAGGGCUCGUAGGCGGUCUGUUGCGUCAGGAGUGAAAACUCGGGGCUUAACCCCGAGCCUGCUUCUGAUACGGGCAGACUAGAGGUAUGCAGGGGAGAACGGAAUUCCUGGUGUAGCGGUGGAAUGCGCAGAUAUCAGGAGGAACACCGGUGGCGAAGGCGGUUCUCUGGGCCAUUACUGACGCUGAGGAGCGAAAGCGUGGGGAGCGAACAGG
rnacentral:rRNA from 1 species